AACACAUGAUUAUCAAAACAAAAAAUAAUUAUUGUAUUCUCUGUUAUCAACCAUAACAGAGCUGAAAGCAUAGCCUCAAACAUUUCAGAAGGCAGGAGACUUAAGUCCUUGUCAUGGUUUGGCCCAGAAAUGUGUUGCUGGAAAGGUCUAGGUCAGGCCAAUCAGUGGCCAGAUCUGAAAAUGGCAGCUGUGCUGGCCACUGAGAUUUGGAUACCCCUCUGAGAACACACAGGGGUUAAAAGCAAAGCAUUCCCAGAGGAGCUUCCUCUUUGAUCGGGCAGCAGGUUAUUUACUACUUCUACAAUAGAAGAGAAGGUUUGAAGGAAGAAAAUGCCUGAUAAGCCUGAGGUCUCAUGCUGAUGAUCAGAUCCUAAGAGUCUGAAUUGGGCUGGUGUCUAGGAACCUGUGACUGGGUCUGCACCAUCUGCACUGUGUGGUGGGCCAAUGCCUCCACCCAAACAGAGCUGUUGAAGGGGGAGUCUCCACUGCAAACCUCAGACUGCAGCAAGUCGCAGGAUCUGUCUCUUGGGUAGCAAUGGGCAGCAAGGAGGCGUAAUGGCUUUAAGGAGGGUUAACAGCUUUAAAGUGAAAGAGGGUGGAUUUAGAUGAAAUAUCAGGAUGAAAUUCUUUACUUGAAGGUGUCAAGACACUGGAACAGGUUGCCCAGAAAAGCUGUGCCUGCCCUGUCCCGGGAAAUAUUUAAGACAAGGUUGGAUGUGGGCCUGGUUUAGUGCAAGAUGUCCCUGCCCAUGAUGAGGAGUUGGAAGUGGAUGACCUUAAAGCUCCCUUCCAACUCACAUCACUGUGGGAUUCUUUUCUGUGAUUCUAUGAUCUUUAAAUAUCAAAGACAUGAAAGAUAGCGCUGAGUAACUGCUGUUUGCAAAAUGCUCCUAUUUGAUCUAGGAGCAGGACAGGCAAUGCAAAUGUACUUCGCUUCACUGGCCACUGUAUGCAGUCUGCCAAUUAGACCAGCUGAUGCCCUGACGUGAAGUCUACAUGAGUAACAGCAUGGAAAUGCAUUGACCUCGAAGAGUCAGAGCCAAGCAACAAACAAGACCUUGUGUGACAAAAUCUCGUGUGAAAUAUGAGCUGGUUAAAUGAGAUAUUUCAUGGUAAACUGAAAAUAUUAACAAAGCCUUUUCCUUUUAAAAAUGUUAUCUCUUCAUGUGUUUUACUCUUUGGUAUCAAAGAUAUUUGUUAAUAUGUAAUUAUUUCUAUGAAUUUGUGUUCUAAAUAUCUUUACCCACUGGAGAGAGAGGAAUGUAUAUAUGUAUGUAGUUCAUAGUGGUGUAUCAAAAGAACAAUUAAAAUAUAGUGCAAAUAUAAAAUACAGAUUUUAAGCUGUUCUGUUUUUUGGAAUGGGGGGUGUUUUCACAAAACAGCAGAGAGUAAGCAGGAAAGUUGUGUGAUGAUGCUGAAGUGAUCCUGUGAGGGACAAUUUCACAGGAUUUAGGAAACUUUCUGCUGUUGGAGGACACAAAAGAAUCAAAGGGAAAAAAAAUUGGGGGAGAUGUGCAGGGUUGGAAACCACAUUUCUUCUCCACAGUUAUGCAGAAGUCUAGCCAGAAUUAAAUACAUGUAGA